rnacentral:rRNA from 1 species
GGAGUGGCGGCAGGCUACACAUGCAAGUCGAGCGGAUGAAGGGAGCUUGCUCCUGGAUUCAGCGGCGGACGGGUGAGUAAUGCCUAGGAAUCUGCCUGGUAGUGGGGGAUAACGUCCGGAAACGGGCGCUAAUACCGCAUACGUCCUGAGGGAGAAAGUGGGGGAUCUUCGGACCUCACGCUAUCAGAUGAGCCUAGGUCGGAUUAGCUAGUUGGUGGGGUAAAGGCCUACCAAGGCGACGAUCCGUAACUGGUCUGAGAGGAUGAUCAGUCACACUGGAACUGAGACACGGUCCAGACUCCUACGGGAGGCAGCAGUGGGGAAUAUUGGACAAUGGGCGAAAGCCUGAUCCAGCCAUGCCGCGUGUGUGAAGAAGGUCUUCGGAUUGUAAAGCACUUUAAGUUGGGAGGAAGGGCAGUAAGUUAAUACCUUGCUGUUUUGACGUUACCAACAGAAUAAGCACCGGCUAACUUCGUGCCAGCAGCCGCGGUAAUACGAAGGGUGCAAGCGUUAAUCGGAAUUACUGGGCGUAAAGCGCGCGUAGGUGGUUCAGCAAGUUGGAUGUGAAAUCCCCGGGCUCAACCUGGGAACUGCAUCCAAAACUACUGAGCUAGAGUACGGUAGAGGGUGGUGGAAUUUCCUGUGUAGCGGUGAAAUGCGUAGAUAUAGGAAGGAACACCAGUGGCGAAGGCGACCACCUGGACUGAUACUGACACUGAGGUGCGAAAGCGUGGGGAGCAAACAGGAUUAGAUACCCUGGUAGUCCACGCCGUAAACGAUGUCGACUAGCCGUUGGGAUCCUUGAGAUCUUAGUGGCGCAGCUAACGCGAUAAGUCGACCGCCUGGGGAGUACGGCCGCAAGGUUAAAACUCAAAUGAAUUGACGGGGGCCCGCACAAGCGGUGGAGCAUGUGGUUAAUUCGAAGCAACCCGAGAACCUUACCUGGCCUUGACUGCUGAGAACUUUCCAAGAUGGAUUGGU